AUUGAACGCUGGCGGCAGGCCUAACACAUGCAAGUCGAACGAGUGGCGGACGGGUGAGUAAUGUCUGGGAACCUGCCUGAUGGAGGGGGAUAACUACUGGAAACGGUAGCUAAUACCGCAUACCAUCGGAUGUACCCAUAUGGGAUUAUCUAGUUGGUGGGGUAACGGCUCACCAAGGCGACGAUCCCUAGCUGGUCUGAGAGGAUGACCAGCCACACGGGGACUGAGACACGGCCCAGACUCCUACGUGAGGCAGCAGUGGGGAAUAUUGCACAAUGGGCGCAAGCCUGAUGCAGCCAUGACGCGUGUAUGAAGAAGGCCUUAGGGUGGUAAAGUACUUUCAGCGGGGAGGCGUUACCCGCAGAAGAAGCACCGGCUAACUCCGUGCCAGCAGCCGCGGUAAUUC
rnacentral:rRNA from 1 species